UUAAAUUUGACUAGCAUAAUAGUUAAAUAUGGUCUAAAACAGCAGUUUGACUAUUUGUUGUAAUCAAAAAUAUUUGACUAGCCAAAUAGUCAGUAUUUCCCUCGCAUUAGCCGGUAAGUUGCCCAGCAACAGUGUUGGUAACAAACAAGAGUACGUUUGAAUUGGUUUGAAUCUUACAGCGUUUGUUUCCGCCAUAGAUAUAGAAGAAGAUUUCUAAGAAGAAUCUUCUUCUAUAUCUAUGGUUCCUGCGUGUUGCAUGACUUGCAUCCUACGUUUGUUCAGCGAUGGAUGAGUUCGUGAGAAGAACGUUAAAAGAAUUGGGCCUUGAGGCGUACACAGAUGUAUUUAUAGGAAGAAUGGUUUUUCAGGUCAUCUGGUAAGCAGCCAUGUGGGGGGCUUAUUCAGACCAGGUUGAAUAAUGUUAGAAAACGGGACGCCCUUCUCAGAUCACCUAGAGCAGCUAAAAUGCCAAAAAUCUGCAUUGAUGACAGAGAUGAUGAAGGUGGAGCUUAUUUUAGAGAUGCUGAUGCUGACGUAGAUGCAGAUGAAGAGAUGACCAUGAAACAGCGAUGGUGUAAGCACCACAGAGAGCCGACUGCAACCGUUGCUGAGUAC